CGGUAACAGCUCAAAUUUGAAAGCUCGCUCUUUUAGGGUGCGCAUUGUAAUUUGUAGAAGAUGCUUCGGGUGUGGCCCCGGUCUAAGUUCCUUGGAACAGGACGUCAUAGAGGGUGAGAAUCCCGUAUGUGACUGGGUGCUUUCGCUCAUGUGAAGCUCUUUC
rnacentral:rRNA from 1 species